GUUGACCUCGGAUCAGGUAGGGAUACCCGCUGAACUUAAGCAUAUCAAUAAGCGGAGGAAAAGAAACCAACAGGGAUUGCCCUAGUAACGGCGAGUGAAGCGGCAACAGCUCAAAUUUGAAAUCUGGCGUAAGCCCGAGUUGUAAUUUGUAGAGGAUGCUUCUG
rnacentral:rRNA from 1 species